GGCGCUUAAUCUCCGGCGACGCCCACUCGCUCGCGCUUUACGAGGCCACUUCCACCUCGAGACGCGCGCUACAGCGCAAUUAGCCCGAGCAUCCCCGGCCGCGUCUCAGGCCGCCCCGGUUAAUAAACCACAAAGGGGCCCGGCGGGACUUUGCUUUGAGCCGAUUGGGAGUCACUUCUCAGUCCUCAGGCCUCUCUGAUGCCUGAACACGCUCCUCGUGUUCACGUAGAGCCGCCAAACAGAGAGCGGCGUUUCCUCUGCGGGGGUUUGAGUUCAGCCAAUCGCACCUGGAUGAAGUUCUAAAAAGGCUGAAACUCCCGAGAUUAGCGUUUUUUUUCACUUGCCGUUUGUCUUAAACAGCGAAAAAAACGCUUGAAACGUCUCCCAAUGUGCGUCCUUUUUUCUCUUCUGUUUUUCCAGGAUUGAUUGACAGGUUGAUUAAAUCUGCCCAGCGAAGCGGAGCCGGCUAAUAUUCGCAGCGUCAAACUGAUUGUAAUUAAUGGGCCGCGCUGCCCUUUCUCUCUACAGUCAGUCCGGGUUCAAAGAGGAUAAAUUGCAGGUAUCGUUUAACUGGAGGUGCUUGACGCCUCUGAGCGCGGAGUCUUUUCUGUCAAUACCUUAAGUUAUUGAGCAUCAAUACCGAAGCCGUAGUCCAACUGCAUAUGUGCUGUACCUGGAGCGGAAAAAGCCAAAUAUGCAGGAGGGAUAUCGAUUUGAUGUGGAAAGAAAGGCCGCUGCAAUCUUUAUUGUUUAUUGUAAUUCAUCAUUCUGGAAUUGCAAAAAAAGACAGAAGGGGAACAAGAGACGCCAAAGAAAGCGCUAGAAUGUCACGCGCAGUAAAUCAGAGGAACGGACAACCUGCAGAGGAGACCGCAAAGUGAAUUGAGAGCGACAGAACAAACCAAACAUCUUCCCUUAGCAGCGUCUCUCCCAACAGCGAGGGAAUCGGCCUCUGAAGCGAGACAUCAAUACCCUUCACUUCGUAUCAGGAGGAGAAUCCUCCCGAGCGCCACCAGGGCGUGAGCACGUUGCAGUGUGUCCAGUUGGAUCGUGGGGCCUCACAUUACUGUUGGAUGCCAUUGACGCCUCGUCGUUCCUUUGAGCUUCAGCGACUUCUGGUUGCUGCAAAUCGCACGAUCGAUUGAGGUCCAACUGAGCAAGGGACUCGCGGCUUUGGAAUUUAAAGCGAAGUGAAUGUUCUGUCUCACUCCCAUGUGUCCCCAACUUUGCCGUUUGACGCCUCGGUGUAAAGCGAGCCACCUCGCGGAGUCGGAAGGAUUGAUAGCUGGAGGCUGCGAUCGGUAGCCGCGGCUUGGCGAGGUCGCGCGGGCUAAUGAGCUUAGUCGUGUUGAUAUUAAAUGAUUUUAGCGUUAGCGUAGCGCAACGCCGGUACUGCCACUCCAGGCCGGUCCAAAUUUUUCUGGUGAUUGGCGGGCGGACGGCGCCUCGGACCCAGGACCCGGGCUCUGCCUGCGUGUAGCGCCGCUCUUUCCUCCGCUUCGGGCAGUCGAUGCUCAGUGGCGGGUUGGUCUGUUCGCGCGAUCGUUGAGACGCAUCAGCCCCCCCCGGCGUUUAGAGGCAGCGAGGAAACGCUUUUCGCCGGUUCGAUCCCGUUGACAUCGCUUGGUGUCGGGCGGGAGAAGCCCGCGGAUUUAUUGAUUUUUGAAAUUGGCACCUUUACUCUCUGUCUGCUCGUCCGUCUUCUCGCCCGUUGAUUGAUUUUGCUCCUGAGCGUCGCUCCUCCUCUUCAUCCUGCUCUGCCUCCUCGGUCCCUACGCUCGGCUCCUCGCUCCCUCGCCGCCUCCCUGCAGACUCAGACCCUCCCGUUGACUCCGCCAACGGGACUUCAAUCGACAUGAAUUCAUAGGAAGGUUUUUAGUUGAUGUUUUGACUGGAUUACUGCAGGCGUUUAGUGUCUCCGUGAGAAGAAGUGAACCAUCAGAUAGAGGUGAGAUGAGAUUAGACGGACGCGGAGCCAGCCGGCCCGAAACAAUGGGAAGGCGCACAGUGAAACACGAACACGCCGACACUCAGCCGAACGUCGCAAAGUGCGGCGGAGACCACGAAGCGGUAACACAUUUUGUGGGAAUAAAAAGUUGGAUGAUAAUCGGACGUCUGAAGCUGCUCGAUAAAACAUCAUUAACUGGAUCGACAGUUGGGAAGUCAGAGGCGACGGCUGCCGAGUUCCCACAAUGCCGCUGGGCACCGGCCGCUCGGCCUUCCACCGCUGAGAUACGCGAUUGUGUGUGUGUGUGUGUGUGCGACGGCGGUUGAUGCAUCUGUCUUCCUGUCUGUGCCGUCUAGACACCUUUACCCUGAGACAUUAGCUAAAAACACACACACACACACACACACACAGACACACACAGCUAGUGGAGAUGACCACAUGACCAGUCCUGUGUAAACGUUCCUGCUGUUGCCCCCCGGCCACGGCAGACUAAUGUCAACCUCCGCACACACACACACACACACACACAGAGGAAAGUGUUAGCUUGUCAGACUCGCCCUGUCAAACAGGAACAUGGGGUUGUGUGUGUGCGUGUGUGCGUUAUGUCCAGUUGAGUGUGUCUCACGCCGAGUCUCAGCAGACUGUGAACACACGCCCGCUGCGUUGCCCUUGUUUCCACUGUCGGCGUGCAGGAACACACACACACACACGCACGCACACAUACACGUGCAGAAGAGUUGUCGCGUUGGUGUGCGUGCGUUUCCCUUCUGGGUGGUCGGCGUGUUUGCACGUUACUCAUCCGUUGAUCGCUGCACCGCCGACUUCAUCUUGACCGGAUUCUAAAGGACAAAUCAAGCACAAAGAAACCAAAAUAAUCGGAAACUGAAAUAUUAGCUUCCUCUUUUUAUGUACCGAGCGGUUCGUAUUGCUGCUGAGCAGUUGAUCUUUUACUAAAAUAUUUGACGUAUGAUCAACGUCUAAAACCAGCCGGUCACAAAGCGAAUAAUAACUGAUCCCCCCAUAAAGCCUCAAAAGCUUGUUUCCAUUUUUCCUCCUCCAGUGUUUCUUCCCUCGUGCCACUAUAGAUACAUACAUUAUAUAUGAGCAGCUGCUAUGCACGAGGUUGAAAGCUCACAUGACCGUCUGUCCCUUUGGAGGCGUGAAGACAAAUCAUCUGCAGGUGGAUCAAAGGAAAAGCAUUUUAAAAAGCCCAGAAAAAAAGCUGUGGAAGCUCAAAACUGUGACAAACUCUCAGCUCUCGGCCUGUUGAUAAGCAGCUUCGCCGUAAUCUCUGAGAUACAGGACUGUGCGACACACACACACACACACACACACACACACACACACACACAAUAUGCUCGCUUCCAGAAGAAUGAAGUCGCACACGCAGAACACGGUGUUGUCACAUGUGUUUGCUACACUUGUUGGUUUGCAUCAUCUGUAGCUCCUUCACGCUGCAUUUUACUCAGCAGAGACACUUGUUACUCAUCUCGACAUGAACGGCGACUGGCGCCCGUUCAAACGUAAACCCCAAUGAGCACCUCAUGGGCGAAUGUGUGGUUGUUUGCUCUCCUUUCAUCCCUCAAACAGCCGAACGGCUUGGAGGUUCAACGCGGUGAAGGAAAAGACCCCCGACGGGUUCAAAGUCAUCUCCCCCCCCACACAAUUCCUCCAUCAGAGGGCGCCGGUGGGCGUGGCUUGUCUUCUCGCGCUCAAACACCAGCUCUCCCCUACCAGAGCAAAUAUAAUACACAGCGAAUAAGUGAUAAAAGAUUGAAUUUGACACGAUGAGCAGCGACUGCACGGACGCGAACGUUGAUGCUCGUCUCUUGCUCGCGCCCACGUUUCGCUCCGCCGCCGUUUGGGAGGAUUAGCGGUAUCUGUUGUCGGCCCCCCGGCGCUGCUGCACCGCCCACCUCCACCCUGCGGAGGCAGAUACGCCGGUUAGCGCUCUCACACACAGCACCUGAGUAAAUGACGGAGAGGUUCAGGGACUCCGCUUGGCACAUUUACCUCAUGGUUGUACGUUAAAGACGCGUUUUUAUACACAGAACGAUCACUGAGCUUUAGUUUGCUGCUCUGUCACCGUGGCAGACAUCUUCAUGCUAGCGGUUGGUCCCUGUUUCCAGUCUUUAUGCUAAGCAUCUCAGUGAUGUUAAGGAGAGGAGGGGUGGAGGACAUCUCAGUGAUGUUAGGGAGAGGAGUGGUGGAGGACAUCUCAGUGAUGUUAAGGAGAGGAGGGGUGGAGGACAUCUCAGUGAUGUUAGGGAGAGGAGUGGUGGAGGACAUCUCAGUGAUGUUAAGGAGAGGAGGGGUGGAGGACAUCUCAGUGAUGUUAGGGAGAGGAGUGGUGGAGGACAUCUCAGUGAUGUUAAGGAAAGGAGGGGUGGAGGACAUCUCAGUGAUGUUAAGGAAAUGAGGAGGGGAGGACAUCUCAGUGAUGUUAAGGAAAGGUGGAGGGGAGGACAUCUCAGUGGAGACGUUAAGGAAAGGAGGGGUGGAGGACAUCUCAGUGAUGUUAAGGAAAGGAGGGGGGGGAGGACAACUCAGUGAUGUUAAGGAGAGGAAAGGUGGAGGACAUCUCAGUGAUGUUGAGGAAGUGAGGACGGGAGGACAUCUCAGUGAUGUUAAGGAAAGGUGGAGGACAUCUCAGUGG
ensembl:lncRNA